rnacentral:tRNA from 1 species
GCCUUAGUGGUGUAGUGGUUAGCACACUCGACGCGUAUUCGAGAGGUCCGUGGUUCGAGUCCCGGCGAGGAGCA